CACAAGGAGAACUUGCCCCCAAAACGAUCAUAAAACGGGACAAGUGGGUAGCAAUUUGUUUGAGGAAUAGGAUGAUUAUGAUCCAAUUGGUACUCCCACCCCUUUUACACCGAAGCGUCCCAGGAAUAAUAUUAGGCCAUGUAAGACCCACCCUGUGAAGAGACGACUUUUUGUCACUAAUGUGGAUACGUCUCCAGUGCAGUUGAGCAAGGAUGUUAAUGACUUGCGUAGUUGCGAUGCACAAGUCGUCCAAAAUUCAGCGUUCAUUGAUGCGGAUACGUCUCUAGGUGUUGCUAUGGGUAAUAGUUGCUAUGAUCGAGCAGGUGAUAUUGGAGCUAAACUAAGAUUUUUUUUUAAAAAAAAAAUUUGAGGACUUAAAUUUGUUAGUAUUUUGUAUAAAUACUCUUAAACGAUGGUUGAUGGAUAUUUGUUUUGUUGUAUGGACUUAAAUCUGUUAGUAUUUUGAUGGAUAUUUGUUUUGUAUAAAUUUCUAGCAAAGGCUAUGAAGCCAUUUUGUUUA